CCCCUUUUAAAUGCACUCACUGGGCCUCUCGCUAGUGACCCACUGAGCCGUCCAAGAAAGGGGCAGAGUAAAAGGCAUCGUCUUUUGAGUAAGCGGAAACGUGUCUUGUUGCUUAAUAUCAUCCGGCGGAUGUACAAGG
rnacentral:snoRNA from 1 species